rnacentral:rRNA from 1 species
UACGUAGGCAGCAAGCGUUGUUCGGAGUUACUGGGCGUAAAGGGUGUGUAGGCGGUUCUUUAAGUUUGGGGUGAAAUCUCCCGGCUCAACCGGGAGGGUGCGCCGAAUACUGAGGGACUAGAGUGCGGGAGAGGAAAGUGGAAUUCCUGGUGUAGCGGUGAAAUGCGUAGAUAUCAGGAGGAACACCUGUGGUGUAGACGGCUUACUGGACCGCAACUGACGCUGAGACACGAAAGCGUGGGUAGCAAACAGG